AUUGAACGCUGGCGGCAGGCUUAACACAUGCAAGUCGAGCGGGGUGAUGGUGCUUGCACUAUCAUUUAGCGGCGGACGGGUGAGUAAUACUUAGGAAUCUGCCUAUUAAUGGGGGACAACAUCUCGAAAGGGAUGCUAAUACCGCAUACGCCUACGGGGAAGCAGGGGAUCACUUGUGACCUUGCGUUAAUAGAUGAGCCUAAGUCGGAUUAGCUAGUUGGUGGGGUAAAGGCCUACCAAGGCGACGAUCUGUAGCGGGUCUGAGAGGAUGAUCCGCCACACUGGGACUGAGACACGGCCCAGACUCCUACGGGAGGCAGCAGUGGGGAAUAUUGGACAAUGGGGGGAACCCUGAUCCAGCCAUGCCGCGUGUGUGAAGAAAGCCUUAUGGUUGUAAAGCACUUUAAGCGAGGAGGAGGCGUCUCUUGGUUAAUACCCAGGAUGAGUGGACGUUACUCGCAGAAUAAGCACCGGCUAACUCUGUGCCAGCAGCCG
rnacentral:rRNA from 1 species